GGCUCAGGACGAACGCUGGCGGCGCGCCUAACACAUGCAAGUCGAACGGAGCUUGCACUCUGAAGUUUCGGAUGGACGAGGUACAAGCUUAGUGGCGAACGGGUGAGUAACACGUGAAGAACCUGCCCUUCAGUGGGGGACAACAGUUGGAAACGACUGCUAAUACCGCAUAAGACCACAGUACCGCAUGGUACAGUGAUCAAAGGAUUUAUUCGCUGAAGGAUGGCUUCGCGUCCGAUUAGGUAGUUGGUGAGGUAACGGCCCACCAAGCCUACGAUCGGUAGCCGGACUGAGAGGUUGAUCGGCCACAUUGGGACUGAGACACGGCCCAGACUCCUACGGGAGGCAGCAGUGGGGAAUAUUGCACAAUGGAGGAAACUCUGAUGCAGCGACGCCGCGUGAGGGAAGAAGGUCUUCGGAUUGUAAACCUCUGUCUUCAGGGACGAUAAUGACGGUACCUGAGGAGGAAGCACCGGCUAACUACGUGCCAGCAGCGGC
rnacentral:rRNA from 1 species